GAUGAACGCUGGCGGCGUGCUUAACACAUGCAAGUCGAACGGAAAGGCUCCUGCUUGCAGGGGUACUCGAGUGGCGAACGGGUGAGUAACACGUGGGUGAUCUGCCCUGCACUUCGGGAUAAGCCUGGGAAACUGGGUCUAAUACCGGAUAGGACGAUGGUUUGGAUGCCAUUGUGGAAAGUUUUUCGGUGUGGGAUGAGCUCGCGGCCUAUCAGCUUGUUCGUGGGGUAAUGGCCUACCAAGGCGUCGACGGGUAGCCGGCCUGAGAGGGUGUACGGCCACAUUGGGACUGAGAUACGGCCCAGACUCCUACGGGAGGCAGCAGUGGGGAAUAUUGCACAAUGGGCGCAAGCCUGAUGCAGCGACGCCGCGUGGGGGAUGACGGCCUUCGGGUUGUAAACUCCUUUCGCUAGGGACGAAGCGUUUUGUGACGGUACCUGGAGAAGAAGCACCGGCUAACUACGUG
rnacentral:rRNA from 1 species